UCGACCGAGAAAUGCCCACGUCACGUGUCAAAAGUUGACACAUUAGAAAGUUUUGAUCUCUGAUAUCACAUGUUACCUUUUGGAUCGCUUGAGCAUCGCGCCAGUAACGAAAUGAGCUUUGCUGCUGCCAGGCAACGCGCUCCAGGAACUCGGGUCAGACAUAAUCGCAGAAGGUCCACACAAAACCGAGACCGGAGCAGGUUUAUGUAAUGUUUUGGCAUGCGAUUCGGCUGUCUUACCUCCAGGGGUGAAGGGAUUGUAAAGGACUGCAAGGGCUGCCUGGACUGCAUGGACUCAGGAUGAUGGGACUCUGGUUGGGUGACAAACUGAAAAGCAAGACACGUUUACAUGCAUUAGCGCUCUGACUAAGUGCAUGUGGACUGUAUUUUUCUUGGUGUUUCUUCAUGCUCUCGGCAGCACUGCAAAUCAGUGUGCUUUAGGGAUUCAUUAAGUGGCAUCAUGGUGCUGCAACACGACAAUGAAAUGAUGGAAAGAGAACAUAAAUGCACAAAUGAAUGUAUGAGAUAUGAACAGGGGCUUUGAUAAGACCAUCUUAAAGCUGCUGUAAGUGAUUCUUUUAACAUUAUGCAUUAACUGUCCAGAUGUCUGAGGGAUAAACAGUAUUGUUCAAAAGCUUAGGGUCAGGAAGAAUUCAUAAUGUUUUUGGAAGAACUCUCUUAUACGCUGCAUUCUUAUAGGUUGCAUUCAUUUUAUUAAAAAUACAGUGGAAACAGUAA